rnacentral:rRNA from 1 species
GCAAGUCGAGGGGUAACAGAGGAAAGCUUGCUUUCCUGCUGACGACCGGCGAACGGGUGCGUAACACGUAUGCAACCUACCCUUUACAGGGGGAUAGCCCUUAGAAAUGAGGAUUAAUACCCCAUAACAUUAUGAAGUCGCAUGGCUUUAUAAUUAAAACUUCGGUGGUAAAGGAUGGGCAUGCGUCCCAUUAGCUUGUUGGUAAGGUAACGGCUUACCAAGGCAACGAUGGUUAGCGGGUCUGAGAGGAUGAUC